GCCUGGGUGGCUCAGUCGGUUGAGCAUAUCUGACUUUGGCUCAGGUAAUGAUCUCACGGUUCCUGGGUUCGAGCCCCACAUCAGGCU
rnacentral:tRNA from 1 species